rnacentral:rRNA from 1 species
UAAACUAGGAUUAGAUACCCUAUUAUUGAUUUUGAUUAAAUAUUGAUUAUUUUUGGUAAAAUUAAAUAAAUUGGCGGUUUUUUUUCUAAUUAGAGGAAUUUGUUUUUUGAAAAGGACAUAACUCCAUAAUGUUUACUUUAUUUAAGGUUUUUAUAUCGCUGUUUUCAAAAUAUCUAAGAUUAGAUUUUUGUAAUUUAUUAGUUAAGAAAUUCAAGUCAAGGUGAAGCUAUAUUAAAGAGAAAAUGAAUUACAAUAAAUAUAUUUAGAUAACGGAAAUAGAUUUUUAAUAUCUUUUGAAGGUGGAUUUAAUAGUAAUAUUUUUAGAAAAAUUUUGAAUAGAGAUUAGGAAAAUGUACAUAUCGCCCGNCNCUNUC